rnacentral:rRNA from 1 species
AUACGGAGGAUCCGAGCGUUAUCCGGAUUUAUUGGGUUUAAAGGGUGCGCAGGCGGCCAUUUAAGUCAGCGGUUAAAUCGUGGGGCUCAACCCCAUUCUGCCGUUGAUACUGGGUGGCUUGAUUGCGGUCGAGGUUGGCGGAAUUCGUUGUGUAGCGGUGAAAUGCAUAGAUAUGACGAAGAACACCGAUUGCGUAGGCAGCUGACCAGAUCGCAAACGACGCUCAUGCACGAAAGUGCGGGGAUCGAACAGGAUUAGAUACCCUGGUAGUCCGCACAGUAAACGAUGAAUACUUGUUUUCGGCGAUAUAAUGUCGGAGGCAAAGCGAAAGCGAUAAGUAUUCCACCUGGGGAGUACGCCGGCAACGGUGAAACUCAAAUGAAUUGACGGG